GUCUUUACACCCACACUGUAACAAAGUCUCAUGGAAUGUAUGUCGCGUUUAACGCAAUGAAAUACAACUUUCAGCAACGGAUCUCUUGGCUCUCGCAUCGAUGAAGAACGCAGCGAAAUGCGAUAAGUAAUGUGAAUUGCAGAAUUCAGUGAAUCAUCGAAUCUUUGAACGCACCUUGCGCCCUUUGGCUAUUCCGAAGGGCAUGCCUGUUUGAGUAUCAUGAACUCCUCAACUCUCACGGCUUGUCGUGAUGAGCUUGGACUUUGGGGGUUUUGCUGGCCUGUGAGUCGGCUCCUCUCAAAUGAAUCAGCUUGCCAGUGUUUGGUGGCAUCACAGGUGUGAUAACUAUCUACGCUUGUGGUUUUCCACCAGGUAACCUUUAGCAAUGGAGGUUUGCUGGAGCUCAUAAUCAUCUCUCCUCAACGAGGACAGAUUUUGACCAUUUGAUCUCAAAUCAGGUAGGACUACCCGCUGAACUUAAGCAUAUCAAUA
rnacentral:rRNA from 1 species